rnacentral:rRNA from 1 species
AGAGAGAGACAUGCGCGCAUAUCAAUAAGCGGAGGAAAAGAAACUAACAAGGAUUCCCUUAGUAACGGCGAGUGAAGCGGGAAGAGCUCAAAUUUGAAAUCUUCAAGGUUUUACCUGACGAAUUGUAGUUUAAAGAAGUGUUUUCUGCUGAAGUUUUGGUAAAAGUUCUUUGGAAUAGGACAUCAUAGAGGGUGAGAAUCCCGUAUUUGACCAUUAUUUUCAGCUUUGUGAUACACUUUCAAAGAGUCGGAUUGUUUGGGAAUGCAGUCCAAAAUGGGUGGUAAAUUUCAUCUAAAGCUAAAUAUUGGCGAGAGACCGAUAGCGAACAAGUACCGUGAGGGAAAGAUGAAAAGAACUUUGAAAAGAGAGUUAAACAGUACGUGAAAUUGUCAAAAGGGAAGCGUUUGACACCAGUGUUGUUUUCUCGAAAAUCAAUUAAAAAUGGCUCGAUUUUGUAUUGUUGAGACCUUAAAAGCUCACUGUACAUUUUUCGUGUCUUUUUUAAUGCACUUUUCGUUUAACAAGUCAACAUCAGUUUCUUUUGUUGUAAAAGGGUCAUUGGAAGGUGGCUUUCUUUUCGGAGAAAGUGUUUAUAGCCUUUGGCCUCUGCAAUCGAAGAGACUGAGGUCUGCAGCGUAGACUCUUCGGGGUUAGAUACAUUUGUGCUAAGUUAUAGCUUUUUAUAGACAACUUGUUGACUAUAAUUAGUCUUGUAGCUUACUCGCUUAUGCUAUUUUACCUACGCUUAGGAUGUUGAAGUCAUCGUAUCGCGC